GGGUCGGAGGGCGGCCAGUGGGACGGCCGCCUCGGAUGGACCCCUCGACGUCCGCUCUCAUGGGGGAAGGCGCCGCGGCCCCGGCGGCGCCCGCC
rnacentral:ncRNA from 1 species